rnacentral:rRNA from 1 species
GACGAACGCUGGCGGCGUGCUUAACACAUGCAAGUCGAACGGUAAGGCCCUUCGGGGUACACGAGUGGCGAACGGGUGAGUAACACGUGGGUGAUCUGCCCUGCACUUCGGGAUAAGCCUGGGAAACUGGGUCUAAUACCGGAUAGGACCACUGCCUGCAUGGGUGGUGGUGGAAAGCUUUUGCGGUUUGGGAUGGGCCCGCGGCCUAUCAGCUUGUUGGUGGGGGGAUGGCCUACCAAGGCGACGACGGGUAGCCGGCCUGAGAGGGUGACCGGCCACACUGGGACUGAGAUACGGCCCAGACUCCUACGGGAGGCAGCAGUGGGGAAUAUUGCACAAUGGGCGCAAGCCUGAUGCAGCGACGCCGCGUGAGGGAUGACGGCCUUCGGGUCGUAAACCUCUUUCAGCACCGACGAAGCGCAAGUGACGGUAGGUGCAGAAGAAGGACCGGCCAACUACGUGCCAGCCGCCGCGGUAA